AUGAACGCUGGCGGCGUGCUUAACACAUGCAAGUCGAACGGAAAGGCCCAAGCUUGCUUGGGUACUCGAGUGGCGAACGGGUGAGUAACACGUGGGUGAUCUGCCCUGCACUUCGGGAUAAGCCUGGGAAACUGGGUCUAAUACCGGAUAGGACCACAUUUUGGAUGGUGUGGUGGAAAGUUUUUCGGUGUGGGAUGAGCUCGCGGCCUAUCAGCUUGUUGGGGGGGUAAUGGCCUACCAAGGCGUCGACGGGUAGCCGGCCUGAGAGGGUGUACGGCCAUAUGGGGGGGGAGGUACGGCCCGGACUCCUCGGGGGGGCAGCGGGGGGGAAUAUUGCACAAGGGGGGCAGGCCUGGUGCAGCGGCGCGGGGGGGGGGGUGGCGGCUUGGGGGUGGUAAGCUCCUUUCGCUGGGGGGGAGGGGUUUUUGGGGCGGUCCCUGGGGAAGAAGCACCGGCUAACUGCGU
rnacentral:rRNA from 1 species